rnacentral:lncRNA from 1 species
CAGAGUUUUGCUCUUGUCACCCAGGCUGGAGUGCAGUGGUAUGAUCUCGGCUCACUACAACCUCUGCCUCCCAGAUUCAAGCGAUUCUCCUGCCUCAGCCUCGAGAGUAGCUGGGAUUCCAGGUGAAAUGCUCAUUGCAGUGCUGCAAAAAGGUGAGGUCACAGGACACAAACCCAUAUCUGAGACCUGGAUGCCUUCCUCCACGCACUCACCCACUGGCUGUCCUGAGCAUCACCCUGCACCUAUUGUCACAGCAACAAGGGAAAAAUCAGCAUAGUGGUCAAGUCCAUUGUCAGCUUCUGACACUGCCUCUUACAAGGAGGUGACUUUGGAAAUGUCAUUCAGCCUUCCUGUGCCUGAGAUCGCCUCACCUGUCAAAUGGGAACAAUAAAGCACUUCAAA